rnacentral:rRNA from 1 species
GAUGAACGCUGGCGGCGUGCCUAAUACAUGCAAGUCGAGCGAACGGACGAGAAGCUUGCUUCUCUGAUGUUAGCGGCGGACGGGUGAGUAACACGUGGAUAACCUACCUAUAAGACUGGGAUAACUUCGGGAAACCGUAGCUAAUACCGGAUAAUAUUUUGAACCGCAUGGUUCAAAAGUGAAAGACGGUCUUGCUGUCACUUAUAGAUGGAUCCGCGCUGCAUUAGCUAGUUGGUAAGGUAACGGCUUACCAAGGCAACGAUGCAUAGCCGACCUGAGAGGGUGAUCGGCCACACUGGAACUGAGACACGGUCCAGACUCCUACGGGAGGCAGCAGUAGGGAAUCUUCCGCAAUGGGCGAAAGCCUGACGGAGCAACGCCGCGUGAGUGAUGAAGGUCUUCGGAUCGUAAAACUCUGUUAUUAGGGAAGAACAUAUGUGUAAGUAACUGUGCACAUCUUGACGGUACCUAAUCAGAAAGCCACGGCUAACUACGUGCCAGCAGCCGCGGUAAUACGUAGGUGGCAAGCGUUAUCCGGAAUUAUUGGGCGUAAAGCGCGCGUAGGCGGUUUUUUAAGUCUGAUGUGAAAGCCCACGGCUCAACCGUGGAGGGUCAUUGGAAACUGGAAAACUUGAGUGCAGAAGAGGAAAGUGGAAUUCCAUGUGUAGCGGCGAAAUGCGCAGAGAUAUGGAGGAACACCAGUGGCGAAGGCGACUUUCUGGUCUGUAACUGACGCUGACGUGCGAAAGCGUGGGGAUCAAACAGGAUUAGAUACCCUGGUAGUCCACGCCGUAAACGAUGAGUGCUAAGUGUUAGGGGGUUUCCGCCCCUUAGUGCUGCAGCUAACGCAUUAAGCACUCCGCCUGGGGAGUACGACCGCAAGGUUGAAGCUCAAAGGAAUUGACGGGGACCCGCACAAGCGGUGGAGCAUGUGGUUUAAUUCGAAGCAACGCGAAGAACCUUACCAAAUCUUGACAUCCUUUGACAACUCUAGAGAUAGAGCCUUCCCCUUCGGGGGACAAAGUGACAGGUGGUGCAUGGUUGUCGUCAGCUCGUGUCGUGAGAUGUUGGGUUAAGUCCCGCAACGAGCGCAACCCUUAAGCUUAGUUGCCAUCAUUAAGUUGGGCACUCUAAGUUGACUGCCGGUGACAAACCGGAGGAAGGUGGGGAUGACGUCAAAUCAUCAUGCCCCUUAUGAUUUGGGCUACACACGUGCUACAAUGGACAAUACAAAGGGCAGCGAAACCGCGAGGUCAAGCAAAUCCCAUAAAGUUGUUCUCAGUUCGGAUUGUAGUCUGCAACUCGACUACAUGAAGCUGGAAUCGCUAGUAAUCGUAGAUCAGCAUGCUACGGUGAAUACGUUCCCGGGUCU